rnacentral:rRNA from 1 species
UGCCAGCCGCCGCGGUAAUACGAACGGGGCUAGCGUUGUUCGGAUUUACUGGGCGUAAAGAGCACGUAGGCGGUUUGCAUAGUCAGAGGUGAAAGGCCGGGGCUCAACCCCGGAACUGCCUUUGAUACUGGCAAACCAGGGGUCGAGAGAGGGUGGUGGAACUCCAAGUGUAGAGGUGAAAUUCGUAGAUAUUUGGAAGAACACCAGCGGCGAAGGCGGCCACCUGGCUCGAUACUGACGCUGAGGUGCGAAAGCGUGGGGAGCAAACAGGGUUAGAUA